ensembl:snoRNA SNORD33 Small nucleolar RNA Z195/SNORD33/SNORD32 family
UCUGCUGGUGAUGAGCACUUCUCCCAUUUGUGUUCGAGUUUACUGACCAUGAGACGACCCAUGCACUACCAUCUGAGGCCGC